GAAGCUGGAAAAACGAGAGAGUGGUGGCGUGGAAGCGGAAGUCGUUCAUACAAUAGCAAGACCGAGAAUGGAGGUGCGAGAAGCGCUGAUAACUCUUAGAUUUGAAUGAGAUGGGGUCAGAUGGAGGGGAGGAACUUGAUGCUGAGAUCGACUCAGAUGACCAAUGGGGGAAUUGUUCAUUACAUUCUGAUUCUGAUUUGGAGCCUGAGCUGCCUCGGCGCAAGAGAGCCCGAAUUAUGCAUACUGUGCAGGCGUCACGUUGCCUGCUGACAAUGUUCCGAGUAGAUUAUCAGCACAUAAUGGAAUCCCAGUGUAGUCAGGCCCUCACUUUACGCAAAAGAGAAAAUCGACAGAGCAUUCGACAGCUGUCAUUGUUUAUGUAACAUGGAGAUGUUGCAGCACCUCAGUACUGUAGCUGAGGCGCACAGAGCGGGACAUGUCUGUGGAUGAGCUGGAAGCGUUCAUUGCGCUCCUGUAUGUCCGAGGACUGUACGGAGGAAAGAACACGAGUCUAGAGAGCCUCUGGUCAGACAGGUAUGGGAUCACUUUCUUCCGAGAUACCUUGCCAUGGAACCGCUUCAGAGAGAUCAUGCGAUACCUGCGUUUUGAUGCAAGACGCAUGCGCCUGGAUACUGACAAAUUGAGAAUCAGAAGUUUGGGACGCGUUUGUACAGAGAUGUGUUAGCUCUUACAAGCCAGGAGUGAACAUCACCGUUGUGGAGCAAUGUCGCUUUACGCAGUACAUCCCCUACAAGCAAGACAAGUGGGGCAGGAAGUUUCAGUUGGCAGCUGACAUCGACAGCAAGUACGUGCUGAAUGUCUUUCCGUAUUUGGGGAAAGGUGAAUCUCAGCAGCCUGAACAUGUGGUUAUGCGACUCGUGGAACCUUACCUCCGUGAGGGGAGAAAUGUCAACAUGGACGAUGUCUUCACCUCACUGCCAUUGGUUAACAAGUUGAUUGACAAGAACACACGCCUGGUCGGGGGGCGGUGAAUAAGACGAGACUGGAGCUGCCUCCAUCUGCAUGUAACCAGUCACAAGCAGAGCUGUUCUCCACAACAGUGCAGAAGCACGACAAAGCAACACUUACGGUUUACAGAAAGAAGCCUCGAAAAAACGUCUGUAUCCUGAGUACUAAGCAUCUGACAGUUGCCAUUGGCGGUGACACAAAGAGAAAACCAGAGACCCUGGCGCACUAUAACAGCAGAAAUGUUGGUGUGGAUAAGAUGACCAGACAGUUCACGGUGAAAGGGGGUACUCGCCGCUGGCCUGUUGCCGUAUUCUACAACCUGUUUGACCUGGCUGCUAUCAACACGCACGUUUUGUUCACCCUGUGCACCGGUAAGACAACCCCGAGGAGAGAUUUCAUCAUGGAUCUGGCAUGGGAGCUUCGUGAGAACCACACGAGAGCCAAGACGAAGGCAGCUGCAGCCGCCAAGGAGGCGGCCAAGGCCGCACCGCCUCCUUCCCGGGCACCCAUCCAGCUCCCUAAUUGGAAGAGAACACAGUGCCAAGUGAAGCCGCAGUGUGCACGGAACCAGGCCCAUGAAAGCUGUGCACGGUGUCACCGAUUUGUUUGUGGGUCUUGCACCCUCAAAAUGUGUGGAUCAGAGCAAUAGAGGAGAGGAGGAAGAGACUGAUUAAUGCAUAAGACUGAAGGCGAGGGCACAAUACCGUGUUCAACCCUAAUGAACAAGUGACUUGUUUCAUGUCAUGGCUAUUUUCAACGAAUAUUACCAUAUCUUUAAUGGUUCACAUGUGUUUUGCACUCUUUAUAUAAAUUGGCGCUUCUGUGAAUGCAUAAAUUCCGAGUGGCACAGCGUUCGGCCAUGAUUGGGAGUUCCAUAGGGCGGCGCACAAUUGGUCCAGUGUUGUCCGGAUUUGGCUGGGGUAGGCUUUCAUUGUAAAUAAGAAUUUGUUCUUAGCUGACUUGCCUAGUUAAAUAAAAAAUAAAAAUCAGUUGACCGUG